UAACAAGACAUUCAUUUGAUUCAGGUGUGUUGGAACAAGGAUGAAUCUAAAAGCUGCAGGACAGUAGCUCUCGAGGACUAGGAUUGGGCACCCCUGAUAUAGGCCAUCCGGUUAAGAUAGUUAUGAAUACAGGAUAAACACUGUGGGCUCCAGGAGACGGGGCAGAGGUAGUGAAGGUUGUCUGAAGGCACACUCAGACACUGUCACAGAAGGUUGUGGAGAUCCGUAGCGCUGAAACGUCUGCACAGAAACAGAGAAAGCCAGCAUGAAGACCUCGUGAGGGACAGGCGAGUAAUCAGCUGAUUGUUGACAAGUGACUGAAGGACAGGAAGGUGGAGGAGCAUCCCCUAAAAAAGACAAACACACGGACAACAACACAGGCACACACC